UACGUAGGGGGCUAGCGUUGUCCGGAAUCAUUGGGCGUAAAGCGCGUGUAGGCGGUUCGGUAAGUCCGCUGUGAAAGUCGGGGGCUCAACCCUCGGAUGCCGGUGGAUACUGUCGAGCUUGAGUACGGAAGAGGCGAGUGGAAUUCCUGGUGUAGCGGUGAAAUGCGCAGAUAUCAGGAGGAACACCAAUUGCGAAGGCGGCUCGCUGGGACGUUACUGACGCUGAGACGCGAAAGCGUGGGGAGCAAACAGG
rnacentral:rRNA from 1 species